CCCAGAUCAGCAAAACAACCUAGAAAACCAACAGACUUUGGGCAAAAAUAAAUGUUUAUCCUGUAAGCCAUCGCUCUUUUCUAUGCAGCACUUUUGUGGCAAUAGACAACUGAUGCAGGUCACACCUGGUAAAGCAUUCAGUGAGGUCCUCCCCCAUACCAAGUCUGUGACUCCAGUCUUCACCAUCAUCAGCCCUGCGUUGGCAUGCAGAGGAAAAUCAUUCUGGUUGUUUGAAUCCAGAUGCAGAUCCAGGGACUGGGAGGGCUGACAGAGGGCUGACUGUGUUUCUGCUCGGGCAGAUGUCAAGUGAGCCCUAAAGGAACUUCCCACUGGCCAAGAUUGUAGGAACUUACAACGCAAGUGGAAUCAUCCUGCCAUGAUACAGUCUGAUGGGCAGAAAGGCACCGUGUGAUGAAAAGAGUGAUCAGGAGACAUCAGUGAAAAAGAGAGAUGGCAUCUUACUAUGUUGCCCAAGCUAGUCUCGAACUCCUGGCCUCAAGCAAUUCCCUUGCCUUGGAAUCCCAUAACACUGGAAUUACAGGCAUGAGCCACCACACUCAGCCUGACAUACUCAUUUUUAAGCAAAGGACUUCUAAGUCAUGGCUCGUUAAUCUAACACCGACGAUAGUGUCUCAGGCAGAAGCCACAGCCCAGAAGACUUCCCAACAUGGGAAGGCUUAGGAGACCAGCUGGCAUCAGGCACAUUCCACAGAAAUACUGAGAAACUUAUGAAGAACAAACAGACACGGCAGGAGCAAGAGGAAGAUACCUGGCCUGAGUAGCACUAAAUAUGUCCCAGUUAAACAGAACUACUAUCCCAAUUAAGCAAUAGUCAUGACCAUUAAUAAACACAAAAGGGUGUGUUGCACAAUGGCCUGAUUCAGUGCCGUUACUGAUUUAGUGCACUGUAAUGAUUGUUAAUAAUCCUCAGCUACUGCAUGCUUCUCUGAGUGCUCUGGGAAUUCAUAUUUGCCUGGAUCCUUGAAUGAAGAUGAUACUGGAAGUGAAACUCAAAGAGAAUCAUUUGGGUGGCCAAAAUAGGUCUGAUGAACUGCUGAUACAGAUGCCUGAGCAUUUCAUGGAAUUCUGGGCCAUUUCCUCUCCCUGGUCAUCUCAUGUCUUGUGAUCUAACCAGCUCUUAGGGGUUCUUUGGUCAAGCACUCUGGCCCUGCUUCCUCCUUUCACUUGGCUGGCAACUCUCACAUAGACUUCAAUGGCGAAAGCUGUCAACAGUUCAUAAAAGGAUCAAACACCU